GUAGUAUUAAAAACACUGAUCUUGUAUUUUUUAAACACAGGAGAAUCUAACUUCAAUUUGUAACUUAGAAACUGUUCAAUAAAUACAAGAUCAGUGUUUUUAAUACUACACUCAGCAACAAAAAUGGCAUCCUAUCUUCCAUCUGAUGAAUGAUGGAUGAUGGUUAUUGCAUUGUACAGUUUGUGGGUGGAAUUGAAAUAUGCUAAUUCCAGCACCAUCUCUUGAAACUUGUCAGCUAGAAAAUUCAUUAAAAAUUUGAUUACAUUAUAUCUACUGCCAUGCCCAAGGGAAGUGCAGCUUGAACUUGUGUGUAGACUAGGAUAAUUAAGGCAAUCUCUAAGCAGCAGCUAGCUUGUCACAUAAAGAUUGAUAUGCUGCACUACAAUGCUUGAACUUUUCCUCUGCAAUAGCCUUGGAGGAGCCCUGGUGACGAUCUGGAUGCCACUUCAGUGCACAUUCACGAUAUGCAUUUUUAAUAUCUUCAAGUUUCAGAGGACCAGAAGCACUCAACCCAAGGGCAAGCCUAUUUGAAGCCAACUCUGACUCCAAACCAUCAGACUCCGGCGAGGAAUCAUAAUCAUAUUCAACCCGGUAUCUCCAGUUCCUCCCAUAGUAAUUAGAGUACCCAGAUGAACUUCUCCAUUGAGGAUUUUCUUCAUUUAUGAAAGACCAGUAGAAGUAUCGAUUUCCACCAAAUGCAGAUCGGAAAAUGGUCUCCACAUCUAAGUCGUCUUCACAAAACUGGAAACCUUUUCUACCCGAACGUUGAGCUCCCUGAUUGGGAGUCCUGUUCUGUCUUGAUCCCUUAGAGUAUUGCUUUCUGAACCAUGAGGAGCUUCUGCUUGAAGGUGGAUCAUCUUCAUCAAAAUCAUCUCUCCAGCUCUUGAAUAAGUAGUCUGCAUAAGCACUGACAUUACGCAGUAAUGACUGCUUUCCUUGCAGCUUCCUUGACCUCCGGGAAUAACCAUUAGAUCUACAAUCCCAAAAAUUGCGUCUUUUGCGUUCGAGGAAAGGAGUAGAAUGAAAGAAGGCAGACCGGAGAUGAAAACAAUUGCUUUGAGGAAUAAAAAUGGCUGCUUUUGUUCCGCUAUUCAUCUCUGUAAUUCAACUCCCCGCAGAUGGAGAAAGAGAAAGACUGCAAACCUCGCGGUCUCAAUUUCAGAUAACGGC
rnacentral:misc_RNA from 1 species